CCGACUUUAGCUCAGUUGGAAGAGCAUCAGACUGUAAUUGGAUAAUGACAUCUGGGUGUCGCCUGUUCGAACCAGGCAAGUCGGA